UAUGAAGGAAGAAGUGAGGAAGUCAGGAAAGAAGAAGCCAGGUAAUAACAAGGACCAGAAGAAGAACAAGGUGUCUCCUCUUGGCAAUGAUAGUACUGUGGCUGCAGAUGAGCCAAAGAAAAAACAGGCUCUCUUCCCGCGGAUCACAGCUGYCCUGGCAAAACUAUUUUGCUUCCCCUGCAAAAAAA